rnacentral:ncRNA from 1 species
GAUAAAGCCAUGCAUGUGAACAGUAGGUAAUGUGAAGCGCCCCAGAGAGUCAGUGGUUCGGUGAAAACUGACCCUUCACCUGUCGAAUCCCCACAUGAAGCGAACAAUGAAAACAAGAAAUUGACUAAAUUGUUCCGGAUCCGUCCGUUAACGCAAUGAAGCGCAGUCAGUCCGGUCGAGGCUGGCUGAAGUUGGGUGGUACCGCGAACGUUAAAGCCAUUUCGUCCCAGAU